UACAGAGGUCUCGAGCGUUAGGCGGAAUCACUGGGCUUAAAGCGUGUGUAGGCGGGUCGUUAAGUGCCUUGUGAAAUCCCAUGGCUCAACCAUGGAACUGCUGGGCAUACUGGCGAUCUUGUGCCACCUAGGGGCGAGCGGAACAGAUGGUGGAGCGGUGAAAUGCGUAGAUAUCAUCUGGAACGCCAAUGGUGAAAACAGCUCGCUGGGGGUGUGCAGACGCUGAGACACGAAAGCCAGGGGAGCGAACGGGAUUAGACGUACCUAGUAGUC
rnacentral:rRNA from 1 species